GAUGAACGCUAGCUACAGGCUUAACACAUGCAAGUCGAGGGGCAGCAUGGUCUUAGCUUGCUAAGGCCGAUGGCGACCGGCGCACGGGUGAGUAACACGUAUCCAACCUGCCGUCUACUCUUGGACAGCCUUCUGAAAGGAAGAUUAAUACAAGAUGGCAUCAUGAGUCCGCAUGUUCACAUGAUUAAAGGUAUUCCGGUAGACGAUGGGGAUGCGUUCCAUUAGAUAGUAGGCGGGGUAACGGCCCACCUAGUCUUCGAUGGAUAGGGGUUCUGAGAGGAAGGUCCCCCACAUUGGAACUGAGACACGGUCCAAACUCCUACGGGAGGCAGCAGCGAGGAAUAUUGGUCAAUGGGCGAGAGCCUGAACCAGCCAAGUGGCGUGAAGGAUGACUGCCCUAUGGGUUGUAAACUUCUUUUAUAAAGGAAUAAAGUCGGGUAUGCAUACCCGUUUGCAUGUACUUUAUGAAUAAGGAUCGGCUAACUCCGUGCCAGCAGCCGCGGUAAUACGGAGGAUCCGAGCGUUAUCCGGAUUUAUUGGGUUUAAAGGGAGCGUAGAUGGAUGUUUAAGUCAGUUGUGAAAGUUUGCGGCUCAAUCGUAAAAUUGCAGUUGAUACUGGAUAUCUUGAGUGCAGUUGAGGCAGGCGGAAUUCGUGGUGUAGCGGUGAAAUGCUUAGAUAUCACGAAGAACUCCGAUUACGAAGGCAGCCUGCUAAGCUGCAACUGACAUUGAGGCUCGAAAGUGUGGGUAUCAAACAGG
rnacentral:rRNA from 1 species